UCCGGAGUUUCUACGGCAUUCCAGUGCAUGUCAAGCCUUGGUAAGGUUCUUCGCGUUGCGUCGAAUUAAACCACAUGCUCCGCUGCUUGUGCGGGCCCCCGUCAAUUCCUUUGAGUUUCAAUCUUGCGAUCGUACUUCCCAGGUGGGAUACUUAAUGCUUUCGCUCAGACACCAACAGUGUAUCGCUGAUGUCGAGUAUCCAUAGUUUAGGGCGUGGACUAC
rnacentral:misc_RNA from 1 species